GACGAACGCUGGCGGCGUGCCUAAUACAUGCAAGUCGAGCGAGCGGAACUAACAGAUUUACUUCGGUAAUGACGUUAGGAAAGCGAGCGGCGGAUGGGUGAGUAACACGUGGGGAACCUGCCCCAUAGUCUGGGAUACCACUUGGAAACAGGUGCUAAUACCGGAUAAGAAAGCAGAUCGCAUGAUCAGCUUUUAAAAGGCGGCGUAAGCUGUCGCUAUGGGAUGGCCCCGCGGUGCAUUAGCUAGUUGGUAAGGUAAAGGCUUACCAAGGCGAUGAUGCAUAGCCGAGUUGAGAGGCUGAUCGGCCACAUUGGGACUGAGACACGGCCCAAACUCCUACGGGAGGCAGCAGUAGGGAAUCUUCCACAAUGGACGCAAGUCUGAUGGAGCAACGCCGCGUGAGUGAAGAAGGUUUUCGGAUCGUAAAGCUCUGUUGUUGGUGAAGAAGGAUAGAGGUAGUAACUGGCCUUUAUUUGACGGUAAUCAACCAGAAAGUCACGGCUAACUACGUGCCAGCAGCCGCGGUAAUACGUAGGUGGCAAGCGUUGUCCGGAUUUAUUGGGCGUAAAGCGAGCGCAGGCGGAAGAAUAAGUCUGAUGUGAAAGCCCUCGGCUUAACCGAGGAACUGCAUCGGAAACUGUUUUUCUUGAGUGCAGAAGAGGAGAGUGGAACUCCAUGUGUAGCGGUGGAAUGCGUAGAUAUAUGGAAGAACACCAGUGGCGAAGGCGGCUCUCUGGUCUGCAACUGACGCUGAGGCUCGAAAGCAUGGGUAGCGAACAGG
rnacentral:rRNA from 1 species